UACGGAGGGUGCAAGCGUUGUUCGGAAUCACUGGGCGUAAAGGGCGUGUAGGCGGCCUGUUAAGUCUGAUGUGAAAUCCCCUCGCUCAACGAGGGAACUGCGUCGGAAACUGGCAGGCUUGAGUACCGGAGAGGAAGGUGGAAUUCCCGGUGUAGCGGUGAAAUGCGUAGAUAUCUGCAGGAACACCCGUGGCGAAAGCGGCGAGCUGGAUCACUACUGACGCUGAAGAACGAAAGCUAGGGGAGCAAACAGG
rnacentral:rRNA from 1 species